rnacentral:lncRNA from 1 species
UUUUGGUUUCAAAUCUCCUGACUCUUGGGUUUCAGCAGCAUCUGGGAGGCCAAAUGCGUGCUGAGAUUAGCAUGUGCAGGGUCUGUCCUUGGCCCUUUCCAUAGUUUCCCUAAGAGAGUCAUUAGGUUGACCCCUAGAUCUGGCCUAAAUCCAUCGGCUUACGUAUUUAUAUUGGGCUUCACAGGCUGCAUGGAAACCCUUCGCUAGCGUCCCACAUGGAAUCCAAGAGCAGAAGGGGAAGAAUCUCAUCGGUCCAGCUCUACUCAGGUGCCACUCCCUGUCUAAUCAACUGUGACUGGGCUCAUGUUACUCCUGCCCCCUUCCCCCCACAUACAUGCUGCAGGUGUCUGAGUAAUUGAUGUAGUUGUGGUGGUGAAUUGAGUGUAUCUGUUGCAUGAUUGAGCCCAUUGACAGCCAAGCUCACUGUGGCAGAACAUGCCCUUUCUCAUCCCUGCUUUGAGAAGUGUCUGUUCACUGAGCACGUGACUCAUGCCACCACCUAUUGAUGUCUUGGGAUUCUGGAGCAUCAGCUGGCCUCUGCUAUCAAUAAGCCUGCUUCGGGCAGCUUCCUCUCCCUUUUUAUGGAAUGGACUAAGAAAUCUACAUGGUUGGGGUUGUGCGAAAAUCAAGAGCAGUGAGGUUUAGGCUGGAGAUCUGGAGACAUUCGUUACAGAAUAAAACAUAUGAAACAGUGCACGGGCUUUGUGACAGCUUGUUUGUCUCCUCAGAAGCCAUUUUUGCUCAGUCCUACAUUUAGAAAGAACCCAGAUUCAACUAGAAAUUGGCUCUCUGAAUACAGAGGAUGCCUUUGAAUUCCGAUUUUGUCAGUAGGGGUGAUGGAGAACACUGGCAUCUCUGCAAUAUGCUUUUGAAAAUAAAAUGCUUCAUAAUAAAAUGCUCUGGCCGUUUCCCCUAAAUCCCAUUUCCCCCCCCCAAUUCAGCCGCCUGACGUCCUAAAACAUUGCCCUAACAUCUAUACAUUCAUCUUAAUCUGAGGCACCCA